CGCCCAAUUGUCAUCCCUAAGUGCACCUGUAAUAUCCUAAAAAUCUUAAACGUACUUAAGUGAGUAAUUAACAUAAUAAUGUAGUUAGAACAUAUCUUAUUCGUUCCACUAAUUAUGCAACGUAUAAUAAAAUGAUUAUAGAAUUUCAACAUAAAAAUUUACCAACUUAAGUUAUGACGAUAAUUUAUAAUUUACAAUUUCAUGAGUUAAACAAGAAAGCUAAUAUAGUUGAUAAUUCACUUAUUGUACAAAAUGUCAACAUUUCACCCAAGAUUUCACUAAGUCACGUUGAUAGGUGUAAGUGUGGAGAAUUUCUGAUUUUUGGUUGAGAAAAUAAAAAAAAAAAGGAAAAAGAAAAAAAAAAUAAAGCUUUGGUCAAUCCCCAUUAAUGGUGUCUUCCUCCUCACUCACCAUGUACAUUUGUCAUUCAUGCAAUCACAACUCUCUUCUUUUUCUUCAGUCAAGAUAUGUCCCCAACCCAUCACAAUUGCUUCUUCAAGUUAACAAAAUCAGAUUACUUACUUCACCAUCCUCCACCCAACCACUGAUUUUAACUCCCAAAUUUCCACUAUAAAUAGCCAUGGAAGUUCAACAUCAAGAACACAACAACAACCUUCAUCAUCUCUUCUCCUUCUAAUCUGAAAUUCAGUCAAUAAUCGUCGGAAAAUUUGCAACUAAAAGAAACCCAAAAGUAAACCCCAAAUUUGUUCUCUCUCUCCUCAGUUUCGACCCCAACAUCCGACCACCGUCGGCCACCGCGCGCGCCACCUGCGCCGCGCCCAGUUCCGUCCCCACCCCGCUGUCGUUCGUCGACCACGCGCAGCUCGCCGGAGAUCCGCGGCGCCAGCAGUUCUCUCUUUCCCCUUCGCACUCUCUCGCUCCUCUUUUCUUCGAGCGACGCUGCUGCACGCGCAGCACUGCCGACGACCCGCGUGCCCACCGCCGGAGAUCGACGCCGCUGCUGGUCGCGCCGUUCACCGGAGCCGGCAUCCCACCUCUGCCGGAAUUGUCGUCCUCCCUGCUCCUAGUAGCAGAGAUUAAAGAAGAUAAAGGAUAUUACAAGCCUCCCCCGGCUAUCAUGAUUGGUAAGCAGGAAUUCAGGUAUGGAAGAACAGUUGUGGAUCACUAAUAGACUGCGUUAUGGAGACUAAGUAUGAUUUUAUGAGGUUUUAGGAUACUUUGUACGAUGGAUAAACAAGUAUAAUCUUGCGAUGAGUAAUUGUAUAGUGAAUUUUCAAUUUUAGGCUAUAUUUUAUUUGUGGGCCAUAACCCACAGGAUUAGGUUA